CCUACGGGUGGCUGCAGUGGGGAAUAUUGCGCAAUGGGCGAAAGCCUGACGCAGCCACGCCGCGUGAGCGAUGAAGGCCUUCGGGUCGUAAAGCUCUGUGGGGAGAGAAGAAUAAAGCCUGUGAAGAGCAGGCCUUGACGGUAUCUCCUUAGCAAGCACCGGCUAACUCCGUUCCAGCAGCCGCGGUAAUACGGAGGGUGCAAACGUUGCUCGCGAUCAGUGGACGUAGAGCGCACGUAAGCUGGCCGGCGAAAACCCUGGGCUCAACCCAGGAAGUGCAUCCAAAACUGGCGGGCUUGAAUCUCGGAGGGGGUCGGAGAAUUCCCGGUGUAGAGGUGAAAUUCGUAGAUAUCGGGAGGAAUACCAGUGGCGAAGGCGCCGACCUGGACGAAGAUUGACGCUGAGGUGCGAAAGCGUGGGGAGCAACCAGGAUUAGAUACCCGUGUAGUC
rnacentral:rRNA from 1 species